ensembl:lncRNA
UGUUGACGUUGUAAUGUUUUGUCCCAUAACGCAAUCCGUACUUCAACACAACUUUCGUUUUGAUCAUGGUUGAAAGUGUCAAAAGUGCAGUAAGGAGACCGAAGUGACUUGAUUCCUUUGUUAAAUACAAAAUUGUGUGCAUGUUGGCGAUGUUUUUAAUUGCCGUGUAUGAAUGGCAUGGCAGUGUACUCUCGGACUAGCUGCAAACUUCAGCACAAGGGCAACUAGCACUCGUUCUCCCGAGGAGGCCUUCCUAUAACAGUAUAGUACAUAUUAGUGAUCAAGUACAAUAGAGUCGGUGGAUGCUUCUCAUGUAAUACUUGAAAAUGGAAAAUAUUAUGACCAAUGUUUUCAUUGCUGGGCUCCCAGCGUGUGCCAUAUAUUUUCUUUACACCAACAUUUAUUGCUCUUAUAAACUACUGAAAGCUAAUGUGGUGUUUGACAGUUGUCAGAGCAUUCCAAGUUUUGCCUACCUUUUUCUCAGAUAUGUAUUCAGAGCUCUUAUCAAAAGACAGGGGCAUUUGUACUUUUGCGAUAGAGAUGUCGAAGGUGAAGUUUCCUUCACCAUCUUUAACUGCAGGUUCAACAAGGAUCUACUGAGGAGGUUCUGUAGUGCAGCUGGAUAUGGCUGGGACUACCCAGACAUUGAGUUCAGGGAUAUCCCUCUGUGUUACCCAGACACCCUCUGUCUGCGGAUGCUUGACAUAUUAAUAUCUGCUGAGAAGUUCAGAUUGAGCCCUCUGGGUCUAGUCCGGGUACGUCAGAGUUUGAGAACAUGGCAGCCAAUAGAUGAGCUGAAGAAGGGACCCUUCAAGUUGCAGGCUCGUGUGUUAGAGUACAGGGUUGUUGAAGAUGGGGUGGAGGUUGACAUUUCUUUAACUGCCAUUUCACACACUGACCAGCCAGUAUGGGAGAGUGUUUUGACAAUGCUCUCCCAGGACAGAGGCCGAACACCAAACACACAACCUAAAACUGAGUGGUAUGAUGGUCACAUGGACACAUCAGAGCCAGAUGACGUGAAGGCGGUAGAUAUCAAUGUUCCCUGGACUACAGGACUGAAGUUUGUGUGGGCUUUCUCUGACUACUCUCCACGUUGUCUCCUAACUCUUCCUGCUAAACUCUUGGGCUGCAGAUGUACCCCAACUCCUAGUCUAUGGAUGCUGUCUAAAUGUUUGGCUGAAAUUGAAAAGCACAAAGGAGUUGAUGCCAUUAGAGCCCCCAUCUCUGUCACCGCCCAGUUCAAGGAACCAUUGUUGGUACCAGGAAAAGUGACCAUCAAAUUUUGUGAGAGUGCGGGAGUGCAGUCCAAAUGUGUUAGCUUCCAAAUGGAGCAAUACGAGAGGAAGAUACCUCACAUUACGGGACAGAUCUGCAGGACUACUGUAGAGGAUGUGAAUUAAAGAUGAAAACGGCGCCAAUGGCCACCCCAGCACCGUUAUUGUUUUUGUUGCAGAGAUGAGGAGCAUCACGUAGCAUGGUAAAAAAAAAAAAUGCAGUACUCUUCUAUGAUGUGUUAAAUGAUGUCAGAGUUGAAAAAACUGUUUGUUGUUUGCAGUAACUUCUUUGUUGUAAUAUCGCAAAUGGUGUGGCUGCUUCACCAAUAAGGAUUCCAGCUUUAAGAUGAUCAGUUAUGACAUGACAUUCUAUAAAUAUCAGGUAGAUGAAAGUCAUAAUAAUAAGGGAUGAUUGUGUAAUUAUUAGUGGAAUGACAUCUCAUCUUUGCCAUUAUGUGGCAUCCUAGUCAGUGCGGCAUAGGCUUCAUGGCCCAGCAGGUGAUUUACACAAAUGUAUCUUCAAUCCAAAGUACCCCAAUACUGCUACCCUCUAGAGUAGAUAUUUACAUCAAACAAGAACUGCAGUCUUAAGGCAUUUUCUGUGUCCUCUACAACUCUAAUGUUACUAUGUCCACAGAAGCACCAUAAGCUACAGUUGAUGCAGACAAGGUCCCUACAGGGAAUGGAGACUUGAAUAUUUGAUCUGUUUGAUAUUCUUGUUCCCUGCCUUCAUGUUUAUGAAGGUCUUUUCUCUUGUAUUACUCAUUGUAAAAUGGAGGUGUAGGCAGGAAAUAUGUAGAGGAACAUAAACAGUAUUGUUCACUGAAAUGCUUUGUAGAGAUCCAUGAAUUAAACUAUACCUUAAGUUUAAUGUCAGUAUUUACAUAUUUCUGCUAAACUUCAAAGAGUGGUGAUUAGAUUCUGCCUAGGAGUAAAGUGUUAAAUAAAUAUUACUAAAAUGAAUUGUAGUUUCAGUUCAUGUGGUGAAAAAAUGAUCUUUAUUGUGAGUGGAUUAGGUGAAGUAAUAUUAUGAUAUUGUUUGCAUGCCCAUAGAGAUGUAUGUAAUUCUGCAGUUGUAGAGUUGGAAAUUCAAUUUUAUGUAACCUUAAAUCAUGUGAUCAGAAGCCCGGAUCUCUCCGGCCUUACUGUAUACGGUGGUUGUGUAAUCAAAAGAGCAUCCCGUGAUUGCCUCUCAUUGCACAGAGAGUAUAUGUGUUUUUCCAGUGUUUGAGGGAAGGAGAGGGGAUGAGGUUGUGAAGAAAAGCAUCCGUUAGUAGAUCUUCAUACCACCGAAUAACUGAACAGCACCUGACACUAUUUAGUCUGACUGCCCACUGAUGAAAUCCUGCCAAUACAUCCCACGUGACGUGAUUUACAUUACUGUAACCCCCUAACAUUUUGAAGAAGGAAGACUGCACAACAGAGGACUACACAACUUUUGUUUAAAAAAAAAAAUGUUUUAUUAAGUUUGCCUGCAGCUCUUGCACAUGCUGGAAACAUUGCUCUGUGAUUGUUGUUGAAUAUGACCGAGGAUCAGGAAAUCAAACAUAACUUUAUGGGAGUGAACCUAAAGGCAUGUUUCGUCUUACAUCUUAGUAUGCUGUGUAGCAAAGCUUUGAAUGAAUCAUACUUAUAUUUUUUUGUUGCAAUGAUAUCACGCCUAAUUUUCUUGUUCCUCACUCAGUGACCACAAAGCAGCAUUUACACCUCUCAUCCAUCAUUGUGCAGAGACAGAUGAAUGGAUUCUUGAACUAUUCAAGGACAUAUGAACAUGACUAUCCAGUAUUUUAAAGGUACAGUCUAUUCAGACCCCUUGACUUUUUCCACAUUUUGUAACUUUACAGCAUUAUUCUAAAAUUGAUUAAAUUGUUUUUUUCCCCUCAUCAGAGCAAAAACCAUUUUAGAAAUGUUUGCAAAUGUAUACAAAAAUUAAACUGAAAUAUCACAUUUACAUGAGUAUUCAGACCCUUUACUCAGUACUUUGUUGAAAA